rnacentral:SRP_RNA from 1 species
GCCGGGUGUGGUGGCUCACACCUGUAAUCCUAGCACUUUGGGAGGCCGAGGCGGGUGGAUCACCUGAGGCCGGGACUUCAAGACCAGCCUGGCCAACAUGGUGAAACCCUGUCUCUG